rnacentral:rRNA from 1 species
GACGGGGGGGCAAGUGUUCUUCGGAAUGACUGGGCGUAAAGGGCACGUAGGCGGUGAAUCGGGUUGAAAGUGAAAGUCGCCAAAAAGUGGCGGAAUGCUCUCGAAACCAAUUCACUUGAGUGAGACAGAGGAGAGUGGAAUUUCGUGUGUAGGGGUGAAAUCCGUAAAUAUACGAAGGAACGCCAAAAGCGAAGGCAGCUCUCUGGGUCCCUACCGACGCUGGGGUGCGAAAGCGUGGGGAGCAAACAGG